UCCCGCCCUGAAAUAAGUUGAUGGCAGUUAUGGCAUGGGCUGAUCUACCCAGUCAGCAAGGCCAGAUUGCAGAGAAACUCAGAGUCUAGGAAAAUGAAUGUCUAGGAACAUUCCUCAAAUAGUCCUACCAGAAGACACAAAGAUGAUGCAUCCGGAUGAAGAAUAUAUCACUGAGAUUAAUGGCCCUGGGUUGCAGCCAAAAGCAUCUCAGAGGUAGAACACUGUUGCAGAUGGUGAUGUUACCAUUUGAAAGUAAGAAGAAAACUAGUAUCUCUUUACACCAAGAGUAAAAAUAGAGAAGAUGCUUACAAACUGCAACACAUAGAGUUUCUUGAAAUCACAGUUUGGGAGUGGAGGAAAAGGCUGCUUAAGUGUUUGGAAAGGGAGAGUAAGGAUGAAAUAGAGUGGGGGUAUGAUGCAUUUCCUGACUGUGGUCGGCUUUCCAUGGGUGAAACAGAAAAGUCUUCAAAUAUCCUCACCAACUGCUUUCCUAGAUUUUUCAGCCAGUUACUUGACCAUAUUAGGAAAAGAAAGCAUACUACACCCAUCUCAGAGCUGGCCUCUUGAGGUAGCCACACCGCCACAGGAACCAUUGUAAUCUCUGCAUCAAGUUCAAGUUCACAAAUAAGCAAAGAGACUUGUGACAAAGAGCUAGGUGAAAACAGGGGAAAAAGGAGGAAAAUAAAGAAGCACCAGACUAAACCUGAAGAAAGGGGACAUUUAAAAAUUCUUCCUUUUGUGUUCAGAGCUCACAACAUAGAAAAAGAUAUGGUUAAAAAAAAGUCGUGAUGCUCAUAAAAAGCAACAUUUUAUUUUCAAGCCAAUUACAUUAAUUAUACAAUUACCUUGUAGCCAGUAAGAAUCACAUAUAUAUGAAAGCAAAAUAUUGUUUAAUUGAAUAAAACAAUCUGAUACAUAUGCCCAAAAAACAAUAGAGUAAAUAAGAGUUUUCCCAACAGUGGCAAAGAGAAUAAUUUUCAUGUUGAGUUUUAUUGAUCUCCGGAACAGUAGCUCCCCUGAGCAGAGAACCAUAACAGAAUUAAGGAAAGAUAUUUCCAUUCCAGAGACCAGACAUUUGGAGGACAGUGAGUAUAAAUCAUGAACCUAGCCAAUUAUUUUAUUUCUUAUUGGAUUCUUGACUGUUUCUUACUUUCAUCAUUUCGUGAGUCAUGACUAACAGUGCUUGUGCUCAUCUACAGUAAUUGAUUCUGAGAGAAAUUUCUCCAAGGAUUCCUGCAGUUCUCCUUUGAACAUACGAAGAGGGAACAUUCUUUCAGUCCUAGAAGUUGCUGAAGCAGAGAUGGAGAACCCCAGACUGGAGGGCUUUGAUUUCACCCUGCACAUCUAAGGGCAUAAAUUGGUUCCAGGUCAGGAUCAUAUGAGCAUAAGUCUGAGUUGGGUGUCUCUGAUCAUUCCAGAAUUCCAUUGGAAGGCAGACUUAUAUUCCUGAGAAGCAGGAAUGAGAAGCACAGUGGAAUUUUGCAAAGGAAACAGAACUUGAACUCAGCAGUCGUAGGUGCCAGUCCUUGACUAGCUAUAAUAUUGGGCAAGUCAUAUAAAUUCUCCAGGCACAGUGUCCCUUUUGGCAAACAACAGACAGAAUAUAAAUAUGUGUUGCCAGGUCAGUGGACAUUUCAAGGACAGUUUGAUUUUAAUGUGAAGUCAUCUAAUUUUAAAUGCUCUAUUAAAUUUUAUUUUUUUUAGUUGUAUAAGCUUAAGAACAGGUAUCAGACAAGACUUCUU
rnacentral:lncRNA from 1 species